UGGGUGUUGUUGCUGAGGUUGGAGACACCAGUGUGUGUGUGUUGUUGCUGAGGUUGGAGACACCAGUGUGUGUGUGUUGUUGCUGAGGUUGGAGCCACCAGUGUGUGUUGUUGCUGAGGUUGGAGUCACCAGUGUGUGUGUGUUGUUGCUGAGGUUGGAGCCACCAGUGUGUGUGUGUUGUUGCUGAGGUUGGAGCCACCAGUGUGUGUGUGUUGUUGCUGAGGUUGGAGACACCAGUGUGUGUGUGUUGUUGCUGAGGUUGGAGCCACCAGUGUGUGUGUGUUGUUGCUGAGGUUGGAGCCACCAGUGUGUGUGUGUGUUGUUGCUGAGGUUGGAACCACCAGUGUGUGUGUGUUGUUGCUGAGGUUGGAGACACCAGUGUGUCUUGUUGCUGAGGUUGGAGCCACCAGUGUGUGUUGUUGCUGAGGUUGGAGACACCAGUGUGUGUUGUUGCUGAGGUUGGAGACACCAGUGUGUGUGUGUUGUUGCUGAGGUUGGAGCCACCAGUGUGUGUGUGUUGUUGCUGAGGUUGGAGUCACCAGUGUGUGUUGUUGCUGAGGUUGGAGACACCAGUGUGUGUGUGUGUUGUUGCUGAGGUUGGAGACACCAGUGUGUGUGUGUUGUUGCUGAGGUUGGAGACACCAGUGUGUGUGUGUGUUGUUGCUGAGGUUGGAGCCACCAGUGUGUUUUCAGGGAGUGUGGUUGAAGGAGAUACAAAUCUUAGAAUGCAGCCGAUCGCUGUUAGGCGAGAUUGGUCUGUCUGUCUGUCUGUCUGUCUGUCUGUCUGUCGGUCGGUCGGUCUCUCUGUCGGUCUCUCUGUCGGUCUCUCUGUAUGUGUGUUUGUCGGUCUCUCUGUAUGUGUGUGUGUGUCGGUCUGUUUGUCUGUGAGCGUGUGUGUGUGUGUGUGUGUCUGUCUGUGAGCGUGUGUGUGUGUGUCUGUCUGUCUGUCUGUUGUGAGCGUGUGAGUAUGUAUCCAUGUUCUGAGUUGUUUGUUGCUU